UACGGGGGGGGCAAGCGUUGUUCGGAAUUACUGGGCGUAAAGGGCUCGUAGGCGGCCAACUAAGUCAGACGUGAAAUCCCUCGGCUUAACCGGGGAACUGCGUCUGAUACUGGAUGGCUUGAGUUUGGGAGAGGGAUGCGGAAUUCCAGGUGUAGCGGUGAAAUGCGUAGAUAUCUGGAGGAACACCCGUGGCGAAGGCGGCUUUCUGGGACGGUACUGACGCUGAGACGCGAAAGCGUGGGGAGCGAACAGG
rnacentral:rRNA from 1 species